rnacentral:lncRNA from 1 species
UUUUAUUAAAACUCAAACUCUAGUAUAUACGCAUUGCAUGAGAGAGUGAGAGGGAACCAAUGAGGACCUAACAAAGAUGAUCUCUAGCGCCCCUUGACACACAUCAUCAAUCCUCUAUCUGGAUUUUAAAUCAAAUUGGAAAAAAAGUGAACUUGGAAAAAAGAAAAAAAUUGGAAAAAAAUGAAAGGGGUCUUGCUCUUUCAGUUUUUGAGUUUGAAGAGAUAUAUCACUCUCUGAGUUUGAUAAAAGGGGUGGAUAAAAAAAUGAGUAUUUUUUCUUUCCUCAAAAAGGAGUCUUCUUCUUCCCCCCAACCACC